GAGGCGAUGUCGCUCUUCAGCAGCGUUCCUGGCAGAACCGACUCAGAGACCACUAUCUGGAUGGGGUCUUCAGUGAAAUGUGGAGCUUCGUUCUCAUUCACCACCGUCACCACCACUGUAGCCGAGCUCACUGGCAGGGACUGCUUCUAUAUGUGCACUACAUGUCCCUGACAUAUGCUGGGAAUAGCAGAAAGACAUGUGCAGGAUGUUUGCUUCAACAUUACAUCAGGAGUCAUCUGGAGUGAAACAUCCUGAAGUGUCUCCCCAGACGCCUAUAAAGGCCCCAGGAGACUGACCUCUGGCUGUUGGUUCUAGCGUCUCAAACAGAUCGGCUGCUUGCUCCUGAUCACUCCCGUCUUAUCAUCAAUCUCAAACAGGUUCUUCGGUUCCUGGUCCACACCUGGCCCUUCCAACUUGUAGAUCACCUCACCUGUAAAGAUUUUGUCCGAUUUGAUCUGGACAGAAACG